CACGUAGGCGGCUUUUUAAGUCAGGGGUGAAAUCCCGGGGCUCAACCCCGGAACUGCCCUUGAAACUGGGAAGCUAGAAUCCUGGAGAGGCGAGUGGAAUUCCGAGUGUAGAGGUGAAAUUCGUAGAUAUUCGGAAGAACACCAGUGGCGAAGGCGACUCGCUGGACAGGUAUUGACGCUGAGGUGCGAAAGCGUGGGGAGCAAACA
rnacentral:rRNA from 1 species